UCUUCUUCUCCUCCACCCGCGCGACGACCAACGGCGAUUCCGACCUCUUCAGAUCGAUUCCGGCCGGCGAACUAGUCCGACCUUCUUCAUUGCGCCAUCGCAGACGUGCUGGUGGUCGUAGCUUGCUCUAUCGCCAUUGGAAAAGAGAGAAUCGAAGGCUUGAAGCAUUAAUAGUUAUGGGUUUCCUUCCGGCGAAUUCACAGCGUUUUCCGGCGUCUCUAACCACGUUGCUUUCUUCCUAGUAUCGAAACUCAUCUUCCCUUCGUAAUUUUCGGUGCGUGGCUUAUAGUUUUCGGAUUUUGUUGAAUCUUGAUAAAUUCCAAUUUCUGGGUUUCUUGUUCUUCAUUGUUCUUCGAGGAUUGGAGACUAUUCUGGCAGUUCUGGGCUUCAAGCCGGCUUUGGGUGCAGCUUAGUGAAGCUUCAAGUUGAUUAAGAAGUUUUCUGGAUUAAGUCGACCAUCAAAAUCCAAUUUGGUCGACUAUGUUCAUUGUGUUCGUCGAGAAGGCUUCUGUGAAUUGAAAUGUCUAAGUGUGUCUGUAGGUAUUGUACACUGGUACGAGAUAGUGGAGGAUGAGACAUGGUGUGUGAUUCAGUGCGCAGACCACGACAAAGGCUUGGCCCUAGUGUGAGGAAAAUGAGAAUGGAACAAGG